AUGGCGUUCAGCGGCGCCCAGAUGCUCGCUGCCUUCACCAUGGGCUUUCUACUCAUGGCCUUCUGUGUGGAGGCUCGGGUAUGCAUGUCCCCUAGCAAGUCGUACAAAAGGAGCCCUUGCAAGAACGUGCGCUGCACCGCGGCCUGUCACAAAGAACACUUCAAGGGUGGGUACUGCUCCAGUAAGAAGUCAAUUGUUGGCGAUGACCUCAACGAAGACAACGAGGAGAACUUCUAUAAGAAACGUCCUAAGAAAAAGACGUGCAUGUGUACAUAUGAAUGCAGUAAAGCCCCGCCACCACCGUCAGAACCUGAUGUGCCAGAGCCACCGGGUGAACCCGUGGUGCCGGAUCCUCAGAAGAAGCCGCCACCGCCAUAUGAACGUGACGUGCCGGAGCCGCCCUUGGGAGAACACAAGAAGAAGAAGAAGCCGCCAGCUGCCGACCAGUGA
rnacentral:rRNA from 1 species